UUGCGAACUCCUACGGGAGGCAGCAGUGGGGAAUAUUGCGCAAUGGGGGGAACCCUGACGCAGCCAUGCCGCGUGAAUGAAGAAGGCCUUCGGGUUGUAAAGUUCUUUCGGUAUUGAGGAAGGGAUGUGUGCUAACAGUACACGUCAUUGACGUUAAAUACAGAAGAAGCACCGGCUAACUCCGUGCCAGCAGCCGCGGUAAUACGGAGGGUGCGAGCGUUAAUCGGAAUAACUGGGCGUAAAGGGCACGAAGGCGAUUAUUUAAGUGAGGUGUGAAAGCCCCGGGCUUAACCUGGGAAUUGCAUUUCAGACUGGGUAAAUAGAGUACUUUAGGGAGGGGUAGAAUUCCACGUGUAGCGGUGAAAUGCGUAGAGAAGUGGAGGAAUACCGAAGGCGAAGGCAGCCCCUUGGGAAUGUACUGACGCUCAUGUGCGAAAGCGUGGGGAGCAAACAGGAUUAGAAACCCCGGUAGUCCAGAAGUG
rnacentral:rRNA from 1 species